rnacentral:rRNA from 1 species
GACGAACGCUGGCGGCGCGCCUAACACAUGCAAGUCGAACGGAGCUGAGAGAAGCUUGCUUUUCUUAGCUUAGUGGCGAACGGGUGAGUAACGCGUGAGUAACCUGCCCUGGAGUGGGGGACAACAGUUGGAAACGACUGCUAAUACCGCAUAAGCCCACGAUCCGGCAUCGGAUUGAGGGAAAAGGAUUUAUUCGCUUCAGGAUGGACUCGCGUCCAAUUAGCUAGUUGGUGAGGUAACGGCCCACCAAGGCGACGAUUGGUAGCCGGACUGAGAGGUUGAACGGCCACAUUGGGACUGAGACACGGCCCAGACUCCUACGGGAGGCAGCAGUGGGGGAUAUUGCACAAUGGGGGAAACCCUGAUGCAGCGACGCCGCGUGGAGGAAGAAGGUUUUCGGAUUGUAAACUCCUGUCGUGAGGGACGAUAAUGAGGGUACCUAACAAGAAAGCACCGGCUAACUACGUG